rnacentral:rRNA from 1 species
CUCGUAGGCGGCCAACUAAGUCAGACGUGAAAUCCCUCGGCUCAACCGGGGAACUGCGUCUGAUACUGGAUGGCUUGAGAUUGGGAGAGGGAUGCGGAAUUCCAGGUGUAGCGGUGAAAUGCGUAGAUAUCUGGAGGAACACCGGUGGCGAAGGCGGCAUCCUGGACCAACACUGACGCUGAGGAGCGAAAGCCAGGGGAGCAAACGGGAUUAGAUACCCCGGUAGUCCUGGCCCUAAACGAUGAAUGCUUGGUGUGACGGGUAUCGAUCCCUGUCGUGCCGAAGCUAACGCAUUAAGCAUUCCGCCUGGGGAGUACGGUCGCAAGGCUGAA